GACGAACGCUGGCGGCGUGCCUAAUACAUGCCAGUCGAACGGAAAGGCCCUGCUCUUGCUGCGUUCUCGUUUGGCGAACGGGUGAGUAACACGUGAGUAACCCGUCCUUGUCUUUGGGAUAACUCUAGGAAACUGGGGCUCAUAUCCGAUAGGAGCUCUUGCUCCAUGGUGGGGGUUGGAAAGUUUCGGCGGUUGUGGCUGGACUCGCAGCUUAUCCGCCUCUUAGUGAGGUAGUGGCUUACCAAGGUUGCGACGGGUAGCCGGCCUGGGAGGGUGACCGGCCACAAUGGGACUGAGGGAGGGCCCAGACGCCAACGGGAGGCAACGGGGGGGAAUAUUACACAAUAGGCGGGAGCCUGAUACGGAAGCGCCGCGUGCGGAAUGACGGGCUACGGGUUGUAAACCAAUGUCGCAGGUAACGAGGCGUGAGUGACGGUAAUGGAUAAGGAAGCACCGGCUAACUACGUG
rnacentral:rRNA from 1 species